rnacentral:tRNA from 1 species
ACCUUAGUAGCUCAGAGAAAGAGCGCCGGUUUUGUAAACCGGAGGCCGGGGCUCAAACCCCCCUAUCGUU